CAUUGCUCACAUCGAAAUAAUUGUGACGCAUUGGCAUUAUUUCACCUAAACCAACGUAACUAUGACUGUGUAGCUAAUAUCUAAACCCCAGAAAGCACCAAGCUGGUAUUCUGAAGGGGGUGUGGAAUCUGAGAAACAACCAGUAUUCAAGAAUAUUGCUAUCAAAAAGAUGUUUUUGGGAGUUAAUUUGACAAACUUAACCAUGAUAACCUCAUGAUACUUAUUCAAGAAACUGGACUAAGCAAUAAAUGCUUGUGUGUGAAAAAAUAAACGUGUUUGGGGUCCAGUGAACAACAUGAGCCAUAGGACACUAAUGACAGCAGCAGAGAAGCUUGCCGCUGUUCCUGAUGUGGAUAUCGACCC